rnacentral:lncRNA from 1 species
AUGAACAAAGCUAGUGGAGGUGAUGGAAUUCCAGUGGAGCUAUUUCAAAUCCUGAAAGAUGAUGCUGUGAAAGUGCUACACUCAAUAUGCCAGCAAAUUUGGAAAACUCAGCAGUGGCCACAGGACUGGAAAAGGUCAGUUUUCAUUGCAAUCCCAAAGAAAGGCAAUGCCAAAGAAUGCUCAAACUACCACACAGCUGCACUCAUCUCACAUGCUAGUAAAGUAAUGCUCAAAAUUCUCCAAGCCAGGCUUCAGCAAUACGUGAACUGUGAACUUCCUGAUGUUCAAGCUGCUUUUAGAAAAGGCAAAGGAACCAGAGAUCAAAUUGCCAACAUCCUCUGGAUCAUGGAAAAAGCAAGAGAGUUCCAGAAAAACAUCUAUUUCUGUUUCAUUGACUAUGCCAAAGACUUUGACUGUGUGGAUCACAAUAAACUGUGGAAAAUUCUGAAAGAGAUGGGAAUACCAGACCACCUGACCUGUGUCUUGAGAAAUCUGUAUGCAGGCCAGGAAGCAACAGUUAGAACUGGACAUGGAACAACAGACUGGUUCCAAAUAGGAAAAGGAGUCCGUCAAGGCUGUAUAUUGUCACCCUGCUUAUUUAACAUAUAUGCAGAGUACAUCAUGAGAAACGCUGGACUGGAAGAAACACAAGCUGAAAUCAAGAUUGCUGGGAGAAAUAUCAAUAACCUCAAAUACACAGAUGACACCACCCUUAUGGCAGAAAGUGAAGAGGAACUCAAAAGCCUCUUGAUGAAAGUAAAAAAGGAGAGUGAAAAAGUUGGCUUAAAGCUCAACAUUCAGAAAAUGAAGAUCAUGGCAUCUGGUCCCAUCACUCCAUGGGAAAUAGAUGGGGAAACAGUGGAAACAGUGUUCGACUUCAUUUUGGGGGGAUCCAAAAUCACUGCAGAUGGUGACUGCAGCCAUGAAAUUAAAAGACACUUACUCCUUGGAAGAAAAAUUAUGACCAACUUAGAUAGCAUAUUCAAAAGCAGAGACAUUACUUUGCCGACUAAGGUCCAUCUAGUCAAGGCUAUGGUUUUUCCAGUAGUCAUAUAUGGAUGUGAGAGUUGGAUUGUGAAGAAGGCUGAGUGCCGCAGAAUUGAUGCGUUUAAACUAUGGUGUUGGAGAAGACUCUUGAGAGUCCCUUGGACUGCAAGGAGAUCCAACCAAUCCAUUCUUUUUUUUUUUUUUUUAAGUUUUUAUUUUUACUUAAUUUUGCUUUACAAUACUGUAUUGGUUUUGCCAUACAUUGACAUGAAUCCACCACGGGUGUACAUGCGUUCCCAAACAUGA